rnacentral:rRNA from 1 species
CAGCCGCCGCGGUAAUACGUAGGGGGCAAGCGUUGUCCGGAAUCAUUGGGCGUAAAGAGCGUGUAGGCGGUUCGGUAAGUCCGCUGUGAAAGUCCAGGGCUCAACCCUGGAAUGCCGGUGGAUACUGCCGGGCUAGAGUCCGGAAGAGGCGAGUGGAAUUCCUGGUGUAGCGGUGAAAUGCGCAGAUAUCAGGAGGAACACCGAUGGCGAAGGCAGCUCGCUGGGACGGUACUGACGCUGAGACGCGAAAGCGUGGGGAGCAAACAGGAUUAGAUACCCUGGUAGUCCACGCCGUAAACGAUGGGCACUAGGUGUGGGGGGUGUCGACUCCCCCCGUGCCGGCGCUAACGCAUUAAGUGCCCCGCCUGGGGAGUACGGCCGCAAGGCUAAAACUCAAAUGAAUUGACGG